GCCGGGCACGGUGGCGCAUGCUUGUAGUCUCAGCUAUUCAGGAGGCUAAGGCUGGAGGAUCUCUUGAGUCCGGGAGUUCUGGGCUGUAGUGCGCUAUGCCGAUCAGGUGUCUGCACUAAGUUCGGCAUCAAUAUGGUGAUCUGGGAGCAGAGGACAACCAGGCUGCCUAAGGAGGGGUGAACCGGCCCAGGUUGGAAAUGGAGCAGGUCAAAACUCCCGUGCUGAUCAGUAAAAUAAGAAUCACUUAUUACGGACCAAGCCCUGUCAAAAGCACUUAAUCAGUAUUAU
rnacentral:SRP_RNA from 1 species